rnacentral:rRNA from 1 species
CGUAGGGGCAAGCGUUAUCCGGAUUUACUGGGUGUAAAGGGAGCGUAGACGGCAUGGCAAGUCUGAUGUGAAAGGCAGGGGCUCAACUCCUGGACUGCAUUGGAAACUGCCAGGCUUGAGUGCCGGAGGGUAAGCGGAAUUCCUAGUGUAGCGGUGAAAUGCGUAGAUAUUAGGAGGAACACCAGUGGCGAAGGCGGCUUACUGGACGGUAACUGACGUUGAGGCUCGAAAGCGUGGGGAGCAAACAGGAUU